rnacentral:lncRNA from 1 species
CCUUGAGUGUCUCUGGAGACAGUGAAGAAAUGUAUCUUAAACAUUUGUAAUCCUGAUGCUGUCAUGAGCAAACUGGCUGUGCCUGAGAAAGCCUUGUAUCACAAGGAAUUGAGAUUAUUAACUAAUAAUUGAGAAAACUGACUUCUCAGAAUAAAAUUUGCGGAUGGGACUCCUAGGAUGUGUGGUGAGAAGAAUAGUUAUUAACAGAAUGUCUUCAGGAGUUUCUGCAAACUACCUUCAGACUCAUCUCCAGGGAGGAUCCAAGGUCCAGAGACAUCCCUUGCAGAAGUGUGGGACCCAAGAUAAAUUGGUGUCUUAUUCACAUACACUUUUCAAAAAUUCAGCUUUUGCAGACAUCAUCAUGGUCUGGAUGAUAUGUUGGAGCUCACAGGGUCAUAAUCACUUUUGUGCCACUCGACUCCUCUCUACAAAGGUGUCCUUUCUUCUUGCCUCUGCCAUUCUCUGCAGGCUAUUCCCCCUCUUGUUAAAUCUCCUGCAUUACAGAAUCUGCUCACCUACUCAGAAGGUAGGUGAAAUCACUGUCCUAUAA